rnacentral:rRNA from 1 species
AGCGAACGCUGGCGGCAGGCCUAACACAUGCAAGUCGAACGGCCAUAGCAAUAUUUCAGUGGCAGACGGGUGAGUAACGCGGGGGGACGUACCUCUUGGUUCGGAACAACACAGGGAAACUUGUGCUAAUACCGGAUAAGCUCUUACGGGGAAAGAGUUAUCGCCGAAGGAUCGGCUCGCGUCUGAUUAGUUGGUUGGUAGGGUAAGGGCCUACCAAGGCGACGUGCAGUAGCUGGGCAGAGAGGAGGGGCCGCCACUCUGGGGGUGGGACACGGCCCGAACUCCUACGCGAGGCAGCAAUGGGGGAUACUGCAAAAUGGGGGGAGGGAUGAUCGCGCCCGGCUGGGUGAGUGAUGUAGGCCGUAUGGAAGUAAAGCUCUCUAGUGCGGGCAGAUAAUGACGGUACCGGAAGAAUAAGCCCCGGCUAACUUCGUG